rnacentral:rRNA from 1 species
CCUACGGGAGGCAGCAGUGAGGAAUAUUGGUCAAUGGACGAGAGUCUGAACCAGCCAAGUAGCGUGAAGGAUGACUGCCCGAUGGGUUGUAAACUUCUUUUAUAAAGGAAUAAAACGAGGCACGUGUGCCUUUUUGCAUGUACGUUAUGAAUAAGGAUCGGCUAACUCCGUGCCAGCAGCCGCGGUAAUACGGAGGAUCCGAGCGUUAUCCGGAUUUAUUGGGGUUAAAGGGAGCGUAGAUGGGUUGUUAAGUCAGUUGUGAAAGUUUGCGGCUCCACCGUAAAAUUUCAAUUGAUACUGGCAGUCUUGUGUACAUUUGAGGUCAGCGGCCUUCUUGGUGUAGCGGUGCACUGCUUAGAUAUCAC